rnacentral:tRNA from 1 species
GGCGCCGUCGCCAAGUGGUAAGGCAGAGGUAUGCAUAACCUCCAUACCCGGUUCAGAUCCGGGCGGCGCCUCCA